CACUCACUCACUCACUCACUCACUCUUACUCAUUUACCCAUUCUAUUUUUCUCGAGUGUUAUUUACCAUAUACGAUUUACGAAUAUUCAUAUCGUGUAUUAUUAAUCACGUGAUCACGUUUGAAUAAUAACAAAAAAAUUAAAGAAAAAAAGAUAAUAAUUCGUGUUGCCAUUUUUAAUGAUCAUUCUCGUGUGAAUUUUUGUUUAUUAUUUUAUUUCUUUUUUCUCUUAAUCUAUAUUAAUUAUACCUUACACGCGUAUUUACGUUAAAUCAUUUUGUGUUUUUUUUCGAGUGUGUUAUUCGCAUGGAAGAAAAGAUAAAUAUUAGAAAAAUGUUUUUAAAAUUUCGUAUAUAAAACGUCAAUUGGAAGGAAUAUAAUGUUGAGAUUAUUAUAUUAAUUUGAGAAGAGUCCAAGCUGAUGGAGAAUGAUGUUAGAUGGGAAAGAAGAUUCAUCUCCCGAGAUCGAAAAAUGGCCACUGGGAGAGAAACGUGCUGGCUAUCCACGCUAAUAGAAUAAAAAGAUAGAAAGAAAGGCUUUUUAAACAAUGACGACAACUUAAAAUAGACCGUUUCAAGUUGGAACGGAGACAUGUAUUCGAUGAACGAGUGGAUAGAUAAAUAUAAAAAUAAAAUUUAAAGCCGUUUAAAAGGUGUGUCGACCUCUAUCCACUUGUGCAUUUUCGAGGUGACAACGAUCCGUUGAACGGAAUCAAUUGCAUCAUGUUCGGGACGAAAUUGCGCACGUGGAUGGAGGCACACAUUGUGCGAUCUAAGAAAAAGAAGGAUCGUAAAAAAGGGGAUAAAGGAUUCGACUCUAACUGCAACUCGCCUAGAAGUCACAGUGCCAAUAGAUCACCUGCUUUGCAUCAAGUACAUCCUGUGGAUUCUCCAACAAAGAACGGCGUAGACGGGAUUCGAUUGCACGGUGGAUCCAGUGGUGGUGUUGGUGGUGGUGUUGGUGGUGGUGUUGGUGGUGGUUACGCUGGAACGGUGACCACCUCUUCCGGUACGUCCGGUGGUACCGGAAGCGUGAAUCUUUCGUCUCCGGAAAGUGCCUACAGUACCGGAUAUUCGACGGACGGUACGUCGCCCGGUACGAGCUUUCCGCCCGAGUAUUACAUCAAUAUCAGGACGGGCACGCAUUAUUUUCAAAGUAACAAUAAAGGUAGGGCGCAGGGAAAUGCGGGGAGGAUCGAAGACAGAUCUAACUCAGAGUCUACCAAGUCUACGAACAUGACCGGUGACAGUAAGCAGCUCAAGGACGUUAGAACCAGCACCCCGGCCAAGCUAAAUACGCUUAGCUCCGAAGCCCCCCCGAUCAAUCAUGGAUCAAAACAACCACAACAACAACAGCAACAACAACCGCAACAACAAUUGCAACAACAGCAGCAACAACCGCAGACUCCACAAAGACAGCAAGAAAAUUCCCAUAGAAGAACAGAAUCUUUCUCAGCUGAUUCCUCAAGGAACAAUCUUCCUAUACCAUCCUCGAUACCUCCCCCACUAGUUUCACCAACCGUACAAUCACCACGUGAACGAUCACGAAUAAGAACGAAUCCUUGGUUGUCGGCAAAUUCUUCUGGUUCCAGCACAACUGGAUUCAAAUCUAGGCUAACCCUCGAUGAGACUAGCAGUAGUUCAGGUCUCAAAUUGACUGAAUCUUCUGGUAGCGCAAGUGACGUCAAUGUUAACAGCACGAGAGAAAGUUUAACCAAAAAGGAACACCGUCAAGAAAGUCUCAGCGCUGGACGUAGUCCGAUCAAUCAAAAUUGGAGGAUCCUACCAGGCAUGGAUAUCAAACCAAAAAUACCAUUGGCUAUGCAACGUCGUACAAGCAGCAGUAGUUCAUCUGGAUCAUCGGUAACAAGGAGUGGUCGUUCAUCCGAGGAUGACAUUACGUUAAACGAGAUGAUGGGAAAAUUCGAUGAAAGUUACGUCUACGAAAAGGAAACUGAUAUCUUGUCGGAUAGCGACCCAACCGAUUGCGAGGAUUACAUUGACUCUUUAUCAGACGUUGAUACCGGUCAAGAUGGUGGUGAUGAGAACGAUCCCUUCGAAAACGAUUUUGAUUACAUCGACAAUGGUUCCUUCCUCGAUUUAGAUAAUCUCGAUUGUACAGGAAAUUUUCCCAAUACCGGUCAUUGUACUUACUUCACGUUUACGAGCGAACUUAGCAGGCGUGGUACAAGGUUGAGGGAAUCAUUUUUGAAACGUAGAAACAAGGAUGAAAUUCUUCCACAGAGGACGAUGAGUAUAAGGAACGCUGCAAAGAGGCAAAGUAUUCGUUAUAAGAAGACAGAUGAAAAACAAAGUGAGAAACGAAAGAAGAGAAUCUCUCAACGUAGGAAACCAAACAUGGAAAAGUUGGACGACGAGACAGCGAAUUUAAAUCGAGUCUUGGUAGAGAGAAUGUUGCUAAAGAAUUCUGGAUUUAAUCAGGGUAGUAGAAGCGUGGGUGGAACGCCUAUAUGCCUGCGUCGUAAGAAACACGAUGUUAAUAAAAAUCUAUCCCCUAUGAGGUUGAACGAUAAUAAUCAAUCGAUGGUUCAACCUACGAUCGUCGAAAACGAGGUCGUCAAAAGACGUUCUAAUUCGGUGAGUUACGUUAAUGGAAAUAUUGUGAGAAGACAGGUCACUGGAAACACAUAUAUGACAACAUUCGCGUCAGAAAUAGCACUUAUCGAAGCGGAUAAGGAAGCCGACAGGAAAUAUCGCGAGUUGAUUAUGGAAGCUGAAAAUAUCUUGGUAAAUAUGCAAAAGAAUCAAAGCCCCUUACCGAUCGUACCCUCGCCGUCACGAAAGUUUCAUAAUGGCCUGGCGAACAAACGCGUCGAAUUAAUCAAGAACACCGAAUUGAACAUCGAACUUGCUUUAUCCAAAAGUAGAAAUUCUCAACCAGAAUUACAGAGCGGUAAUAUCAGGGAUAUAGAACAUACCAGUCCGAAAAGACAAUUUACACAGCCCUGUUCUCCGGUUCAUCGAUUUAUGGAAAGAAAUUCGUGCGGAAACAUAUCAAGGGACGUUCCAUUUAAACAGGAACUUUCCAAUUGUCCUGAUUCACCUUACGUAGCUAGAAGAACACCGCAAAGUUCACCUAGCAGAAGUCUCGUUCAUUCUCGUGUACGUGUUUGUCCUACGACUGGUGGAAAAGAUAAUGGACGAGCUCGUGUACUGUUAAAUUGCAAUGGAGUACCUCAUUCUGGUAUUGAAACAACAGAGUGUCAACCAUCCCAAGGUUCAUUCUCAAAUAAGACUACUCAAUUUUUUCCGCAACAACAACAGCAUAGAGAUUCUUCACGACUAACGAUAGAUAAUAGGAAGGAUUCGAGAGUUUCAAGAUCGAUGAAGGAAGAAGGUGUGACUUCUAGUUCGUCGGAUUCUGAAGAAAAGUGUGACAUCAGGCGGAGACCUCCUCUGAUGACGUUCAGAUCGAUCGACAUGGGCCCGAUCAAGGAAGGUUCUUCUUACUGUCCUCAAAGUGAACCAGUUAAAAGAAAGGUUUACGCCGGUAGUGUAACUUACGGUAGGAUACAAAAGACAUUAGGUCAUCAUCAUCAUAAUCAAAUGUUACUAAGAAAUUCAGAUGGUGAUACGGCCACCGAUGACACCGGUGAGCCCUCAAAUAUUUUCACAAACUUCGUUGUCCCUUAUCCGAGAAGAUCAUUUCUAAACUCUAUCGUAUCACUGGAUUAUUCAGAUGAUUCUCGAAGAUCCUUGAAGGAGAAAGUAGCACAACUACGUCAAGAACGUUUAGCUGCGGAAUCCAACGCUAAUAUUCAAGACUCUCAACUAUUUCAACAACAGCUUACCCAAUUACGAAGACAAAUGUUGAUGCAAACUAUAGAAGGUUUAAAACGUAGUCUGGAAGAUCAAUCAGCUACAUUAAAGCAAACAUGUUUAGAGCCUGUACUGUCUGACGAAUUGCCUUGAACUUAACACUAUGAUGCUUAUCAAUACUACUAUUAUUACUAUUAUUUAUAGAAAAUACCAAAUCAUCCUUUCACGAAUGAGAAAAGCUGAAUUUCUUCUCUUCAGCGAUACACGACCACAAACUCCGUUGUGUGGUAACUUUGACUAUGAACACACAUACAGCAUUCGACUUUAAAAAAAAGAAACCCUUGUUUCACAGUCAUUACGAUGCAACCUGAUUACGACUGAUGAAUUUACAAAAUUACUACUGCUCGGGUGCAUGCAAGAUGAUACAAAAGAUAAAAUAUAAUAAAAGAAACAAUAUAAUGAGAGUAAUAUAAUCGUGAAAAUACUCAAAUUUAUAUAGAUAGGUAGAUCGUCGAUUGAUAAUUUUAAAGAAAAAAAGAACAAAAAUACACUGUCGAAUGACGGAGAAAGAAAGAAUCUGCUAUUAAAGGGGAUCUAAGAUGGCAGAGAUAACGAUGGAAGAAAAAUAAUAUACUAUAGCUGAAUUACUACCGAAUGCUGUGUGACAACUCUAAUGAAUUACGCUAAACGAAUCGAUGUAUUUUUCUGCCCUGUCUCUGUAAGUGGUAAGAAGACCCAUUCGUAAUUGAAAGAUGUUGCA
rnacentral:misc_RNA from 1 species